UACGGAAGGGGCAAGCGUUGUUCGGAAUUACUGGGCGUAAAGGGCGCGUAGGCGGCACAGCAAGUCGGGAGUGAAAGCCCGGGGCUCAACCCCGGAAUGGCUUUCGAAACUGCUGAGCUAGAGUACAGAAGGGGCAACCGGAAUUCCCAGUGUAGCGGUGAAAUGCGUAGAUAUGAUAUAGAACACCGAUUGCGAAGGCAGCUAACUAAGCGAUGAUUGACGCUGAGGCACGAAAGCGUGGGGAUCAAACAGG
rnacentral:rRNA from 1 species